AUGCAGAACCCUGGCGGCAAUCAUCCUGCUCCAGCCGCAGCAGCGGCGGGCAAGUUCAAGUCCUCUGCGCAGGGUGCGGUAGUGGCCUCGGGCCAUGGCCAUCAGCCAUCCCCAGCCACGCCUGCGGCUGCCAAGUCCAGGUCCUCCGGCCACUGUCAUCACUCCUCCCCGUCCAUGCCUGUGGUGGGCAAGUCCAAGCCCUCAGCGCAUGCUGUGGCACCGGGCCAAGCGUCCACUUCUCACCAACCACACCCCAUCGGCGUUGGUGAUGCAGCUGCAUCGAGCCUUAAGCGCAAGCGUAGCGUCUUCCAGAAAGACCUGCAGCACAUGAUGUAUGGGUUUGGGGACGAUCCAAAUCCACUUCCUGAAACAGUUGCACUUGUGGAGGACAUCGUUGUAGAAUAUAUUACUGACCUCGUCCACAAGGCUGAGAAUGUGGCUUCAAAGAGGGGAAAGCUCUUGACAGAGGAUUUUCUUUACCUUAUCAGAAAGGAUAUGCGGAAAUUGCACCGCUCUACUGAGCUACUCUCCAUGAAUGAAGAGCUCAAGCAAGCAAGGAAAGCUUUUGAUGUGAAUGAAGAAACACUAGUAGUAACUAAUGAGUGA
rnacentral:rRNA from 1 species